CGUAGCGGCGGACGGGUGAGUAACACGUGGGUAACCUACCUAUAAGACUGGGAUAACUCCGGGAAACCGGGGCUAAUACCGGAUAACACAUGAAACCGCAUGGUUUCAUGAUGAAAGACGGUUUUGCUGUCACUUAUAGAUGGACCCGCGGCGUAUUAGCUAGUUGGUAAGGUAACGGCUUACCAAGGCAACGAUACGUAGCCGACCUGAGAGGGUGAUCGGCCACACUGGAACUGAGACACGGUCCAGACUCCUACGGGAGGCAGCAGC
rnacentral:rRNA from 1 species